GAUGAACGCUGGCGGCGUGCCUAAUACAUGCAAGUCGUGCGGUAACACUUCGGGUGACGAGCGGCGGACGGGUGAGUAAUGCAUAGGAACGUGCCCCAAAGUGAGGGAUAACUGCUCGAAAGAGUAGCUAAUACCGCAUAUUAUCUUCGGAUCAAAGCUUCGGCGCUUUGGGAGCGGCCUAUGUCUGAUUAGCUAGUUGGUAGGGUAAAGGCCUACCAAGGCGACGAUCAGUAGCUGGUUUGAGAGGAUGAUCAGCCACACUGGGACUGAGACACGGCCCAGACUCCUACGGGAGGCAGCAGUAGGGAAUUUUCCACAAUGGGCGAAAGCCUGAUGGAGCAACGCCGCGUGCAGGAUGAAGGCCCUUGGGUCGUAAACUGCUUUUAUCUGUGACGAUUUUGACGGUAGCAGAUGAAUAAGGAUCGGCUAACUCCGUGCCAGCAGCCGCAGUAA
rnacentral:rRNA from 1 species